rnacentral:rRNA from 1 species
UACGUAGGGGGCGAGCGUUGUCCGGAUUUAUUGGGCGUAAAGAGCUCGUAGGCGGUUUGGUAAGUCGGGUGUGAAAUCUCCACGCUCAACGUGGAGGGGCCACUCGAUACUGCCAUGACUCGAGUCCGGUAGAGGAGUGUGGAAUUCCCGGUGUAGCGGUGAAAUGCGCAGAUAUCAGGAGGAACACCAAUUGCGAAGGCAGCUCGCUGGGACGUUACUGACGCUGAGACGCGAAAGCGUGGGGAGCAAACAGG